CUAACACACGGCUAUUUCUGGGUUUGAACAGUCCAGAUCAGAGAGCUCUGCAGUGGGUGUGGGCUGGAGGUCGCUGGGUGUGGAGGGGCUCACAUAGAGGCAUGUCUCCUUCACCCCAGCUUUAGGGUGGAGCCUCCCCCCUGCAGUAGUAACCUCACCCGUUAAAAGCACCGUUUAAUAUUUUUGUAAAUAAAAGCUGCCGUAUGGCU